UACGUAGGGUGCGAGCGUUAAUCGGAAUUACUGGGCGUAAAGCGUGCGCAGGCGGUUUGACAAGUCUGAUGUGAAAGCCCCGGGCUCAACCUGGGAACUGCGUUGGAAACUGUCAGGCUAGAGUGUAGCAGAGGGGGGUAGAAUUCCACGUGUAGCAGUGAAAUGCGUAGAGAUGUGGAGGAAUACCGAUGGCGAAGGCAGCCCCCUGGGUUAACACUGACGCUCAUGCACGAAAGCGUGGGGAGCAAACAGG
rnacentral:rRNA from 1 species